UGGGGAAUAUUGCACAAUGGGCGAAAGCCUGAUGCAGCGACGCCGCGUGAGUGAAGAAGUAUUUCGGUAUGUAAAGCUCUAUCAGCAGGGAAGAAAAUGACGGUACCUGACUAAGAAGCCCCGGCUAACUACGUGCCAGCAGCCGCGGUAAUACGUAGGGGGCAAGCGUUAUCCGGAUUUACUGGGUGUAAAGGGAGCGUAGACGGCGAAGCAAGUCUGAAGUGAAAACCCAGGGCUCAACCCUGGGACUGCUUUGGAAACUGUUUUGCUAGAGUGUCGGAGAGGUAAGGGGAAUUCCUAGUGUAGCGGUGAAAUGCGUAGAUAUUAGGGGGAACACCAGUGGCGGAGGCGGCUUACUGGACGAUAUCUGACGUUGAGGCUCGAAAGCGUGGGGAGCAAACAGG
rnacentral:rRNA from 1 species